rfam:Camelus ferus unplaced genomic scaffold scaffold1443, whole genome shotgun sequence.
GAGGGCAUGGCUCCAUGGUAGAGUGUAUGCUUAGCAUGCAUGAGGUCCUGGGUUCAAUCCUCAGCACCUCCA